AAAAGUGUCAGCGUCACAAAUUGGAAGAGAGAUUGGCUCUGCAAGCAGCGAAGAUCAAACAGAUAUCUUUCAACAAGCUGACAGGCUGAGAGAGAAAAUCCAAUGAAAUAUAGAUUUUCCGGUAGCAGUAGUUGAGAGUAACACUAGGACUGUCAGUAAAUCAUUAUCAGUUGCUAUGUGAAUGUCU